rnacentral:rRNA from 1 species
GAUGAACGCUAGCGGCAGGCUUAAUACAUGCAAGUCGAACGGUAACAGGUCUUCGGACGCUGACGAGUGGCGCACGGGUGAGGAACACGUACACAAUCUACCUUAUACUGGAGAAUAGCCCCCGGGAAACUGGGAUUAAUACUCCAUAGUCUUUAAUGAUCACAUGAGAAAUAAAGUAAAGCUUCGGCGGUAUAAGAUGAGUGUGCGUCCCAUUAGAUUGUUGGUGAGGUAACGGCUCACCAAGUCGACGAUGGGUAGCUGGCGUGAGAGCGCGACCAGCCACACUGGCACUGAGACACGGGCCAGACUCCUACGGGAGGCAGCAGUAGGGAAUAUUGGUCAAUGGACGAAAGUCUGAACCAGCCAUGCCGCGUGGAGGAUGACUGCCCUCUGGGUUGUAAACUCCUUUUAUAUGGGAAGAAACCUCUGGAUUCACUCCAGAGCUGACGGUAUCAUAUGAAUAAGCACCGGCUAACUCCGUG